CCUACGGGAGGCAGCAGGCGCGCAAAUUACCCACUCCCGGCACGGGGAGGUAGUGACGAAAAAUAACGAUACGGGACUCAUCCGAGGCCCCGUAAUCGGAAUGAGUACACUCUAAACCCUUUAACGAGGAUCAAUUGGAGGGCAAGUCUGGUGCCAGCAGCCGCGGUAAU
rnacentral:rRNA from 1 species